UACAGAGGGUGCAAGCGUUGUUCGGAAUUAUUGGGCGUAAAGCGCGUGUAGGCGGCUUUGCAAGUCGGGUGUGAAAGCCCUCAGCUCAACUGAGGAAGUGCGCCCGAAACUGCAGAGCUUGAGAACCGGAGAGGAUGGCGGAAUUCCCCAAGUAGAGGUGAAAUUCGUAGAUAUGGGGAGGAACACCGGUGGCGAAGGCGGCCAUCUGGACGGAUUCUGACGCUGAGACGCGAAAGCGUGGGUAGCAAACAGG
rnacentral:rRNA from 1 species